rnacentral:rRNA from 1 species
AUGAACCUCGCUUGCGGGGGGAUUAGUGGCGAACGGGUGAGUAACACGUGAGUAACCUGCCCUUAACUCUGGGAUAAGCCUUGGAAACGGGGUCUAAUACUGGAUAUUGACUUUACCUCGCAUGGGGUUUGGUUGAAAGAUUUAUUGGUUUUGGAUGGACUCGCGGCCUAUCAGCUUGUUGGUGAGGUAAUGGCUCACCAAGGCGACGACGGGUAGCCGGCCUGAGAGGGUGACCGGCCACACUGGGACUGAGACACGGCCCAGACUCCUACGGGAGGCAGCAGUGGGGAAUAUUGCACAAUGGGCGAAAGCCUGAUGCAGCGACGCCGCGUGAGGGAUGACGGCCUUCGGGUUGUAAACCUCUUUCAGUAGGGAACAAGGCCAGCAUUUUUGUUGGUUGAGGGUACUUGCAGAAGAAGCGCCGGCUAACUACGUGCCAGCAGCCGCGGUAAUACGUAGGGCGCAAGCGUUAUCCGGAAUUAUUGGGCGUAAAGAGCUCGUAGGCGGUUUGUCGCGUCUGCCGUGAAAGUCCGGGGCUCAACUCCGGAUCUGCGGUGGGUACGGGCAGACUAGAGUGAUGUAGGGGAGACUGGAAUUCCUGGUGUAGCGGUGAAAUGCGCAGAUAUCAGGAGGAACACCGAUGGCGAAGGCAGGUCUCUGGGCAUUAACUGACGCUGAGGAGCGAAAGCAUGGGGAGCGAACAGGAUUAGAUACCCUGGUAGUCCAUGCCGUAAACGUUGGGCACUAGGUGUGGGGGACAUUCCACGUUUUCCGCGCCGUAGCUAACGCAUUAAGUGCCCCGCCUGGGGAGUACGGCCGCAAGGCUAAAACUCAAAGGAAUUGACGGGGGCCCGCACAAGCGGCGGAGCAUGCGGAUUAAUUCGAUGCAACGCGAAGAACCUUACCAAGGCUUGACAUGAACUGGAAAUACCUGGAAACAGGUGCCCCGCUUGCGGUCGGUUUACAGGUGGUGCAUGGUUGUCGUCAGCUCGUGUCGUGAGAUGUUGGGUUAAGUCCCGCAACGAGCGCAACCCUCGUUCUAUGUUGCCAGCACGUUAUGGUGGGGACUCAUAGGAGACUGCCGGGGUCAACUCGGAGGAAGGUGAGGACGACGUCAAAUCAUCAUGCCCCUUAUGUCUUGGGCUUCACGCAUGCUACAAUGGCCGGUACAAUGGGUUGCGAUACUGUGAGGUGGAGCUAAUCCCAAAAAGCCGGUCUCAGUUCGGAUUGGGGUCUGCAACUCGACCCCAUGAAGUCGGAGUCGCUAGUAAUCGCAGAUCAGCAACGCUGCGGUGAAUACGUUCCCGGGCCUUGUACACACCGCCCGUCAAGUCUCAAAGUUGGUAACACCCGAAGCCGGUGGCCUAACCCCCUU